GGGUGCACCAGGCGCGAAAACUCCACAAUGUACGGAAGUACGAUGGGGUUAUCUCGAGUGCAGUCCGAUAAGGGCUGCUUUUCCAUAGAGUAAUAUCCUGUGGGAAUAAGAGGGGGGCAAGACUGGUGUCAGCCGCCGCGGUAACACCAGCCCCUCGAGUGGUGGGGACUAUUAUUUGGCCUAAAGCGUCCGUAGCUGGCUGUAUCCGUCCCCCGUUAAAUCCAGCGUCCUAAGCGUUCGACCGCGGGUGAUACCACACAGCUAGAGGGUGGGAUAGGUGAGCGGUAUUUCUGGGGUAGGGGCGAAAUCCUUUGAUCCCAGGAGGACCACCAGUGGCGAAGGCUGCUCACUAGAACACGCCUGACGGUCAGGGACGAAAGCUGGGGCAGCGAACCGGAUUAGAUACCCGGGUAGUCCCAGCUGUAAACGAUGCUAGCUAGGUGUUGGGUCGGCCACGCGCCGCCCCAGUGCCGCAGGGAAGCCGUUAAGCUAGCCGCCUGGGGAGUACGGCCGCAAGGCUGAAACUUAAAGGAAUUGGCGGGGGAGC
rnacentral:rRNA from 1 species